rnacentral:rRNA from 1 species
CCUAGUGGCGGACGGGUGAGUAACGCGUGGGUAACCUGCCAUAUACAGGGGGAUAACACUUAGAAAUAGGUGCUAAUACCGCAUAAGCGCACAGGGGCGCAUGCCCCGGUGCGAAAAACUCCGGUGGUAUAUGAUGGACCCGCGUCUGAUUAGCCAGUUGGCAGGGUAACGGCCUACCAAAGCGACGAUCAGUAGCCGGCCUGAGAGGGUGGACGGCCACAUUGGGACUGAGACACUGCCCAAACUCCUACGGGAGGCAGCAGUGGGGGAUAUUGCACAAUGGGGGAAACCCUGAUGCAGCGACGCCGCGUGAGUGAAGAAGUAUUUCGGUAUGUAAAGCUCUAUCAGCAGGGAAGAAAAUGACAGUACCUGACCAAGAAGCCCCGGCUAACUACGUGCCAGCAGCCGCGGUAAUACGUAGGGGGCAAGCGUUAUCCGGAUUUACUGGGUGUAAAGGGAGCGUAGACGGUUAUGUAAGUCUGGAGUGAAAGCCCGGGGCCCAACCCCGGGACUGCUUUGGAAACUGUGUAACUGG